rnacentral:rRNA from 1 species
GGGCCCGCACAAGCAGCGGAGCAUGUGGUUUAAUUCGACGCAACGCGAAGAACCUUACCUGGGCUUGACAUGUUGGUGACCGCCGUGGAAACACGGUUUUCCUUCGGGACACCAUCACAGGUGGUGCAUGGCUGUCGUCAGCUCGUGUCGUGAGAUGUUGGGUUAAGUCCCGCAACGAGCGCAACCCCCGUUCCAUGUUGCCAGCAUUUAGUUGGGGACUCAUGGGAGACUGCCGGUGACAAACCGGAGGAAGGUGGGGAUGACGUCAAGUCAUCAUGCCCCUUAUGUCCAGGGCUACACACGUGCUACAUUGGCGCAUACAAAGGGCAGCAAUACCGCGAGGUGGAGCAAAUCCCAUAAAGUGCGCCUCGGUUCGGAUUGGAGGCUGAAACUCGCCUCCAUGAAGGUGGAGUUGCUAGUAAUCGCGGAUCAGCAAUGCCGCGGUGAAUACGUUCCCGGGCCUU